rnacentral:rRNA from 1 species
UACGAAGGGGGCUAGCGUUGUUCGGAAUUACUGGGCGUAAAGCGCACGUAGGCGGACUAUUAAGUCAGGGGUGAAAUCCCGGGGCUCAACCCCGGAACUGCCUUUGAUACUGGUAGUCUCGAGUCCGGAAGAGGUGAGUGGAAUUCCGAGUGUAGAGGUGAAAUUCGAUAGAUAUUGUGAGGAACACUAGUGGCGAAGGCGAAUCUCUGGACAGUUCCUGACGCUGAGGCACGAAGGCCAGGGGAGCAAACGGGG